CUAGUUUCGUUCACUAGCAGAUGUUUGCAGCUGUUUCUCCUUGCCUGGAGUCAUGCCCUGCCAGCAAAUGAAGGUCCCCAAGGCUCUACUCCCGCAGACUUUACCUGAUUCUCGUCACCAUGGCGGACUCGACGCCAAGCCUGUUCACUUUGGGUGACCCUGCUGGAAGCUGAAAUAAGGGCGACACAGAGUCCAGCAGCACAGGAACGCACAGGCCACCACAGGAGGACAAACGGACAGACAAACAGAUCUGUACUGGAAGAAGUCAGGCCAAGUAAGGCCGGAGAGGCGCGCAAGCGGGGUAAGACUUUGUCUUACGUACUUGGGACGUGUGCCUGGAGAAGGACAUCGUGUGUGGCAAACUGGAAGGGCGGUAAAGAGAAGCCCCUCGGGGAUUGACACCGUGACUGCAUCAGUGGGCUGAGGAACAAGCACAACUGUGAGGAUGGCACAGAACCACGCCGUGUUUGAUUUUGUGCGUA